GAUGAACGCUAGCGGCAGGCCUAAUACAUGCAAGUCGAACGGUGUCUUCGGACAUAGUGGCGCACGGGUGCGUAACACGUAUGCAACCUACCUUACAUUGGGGGAUAGCCUUUCGAAAGGGAGAUUAAUACCGCAUAAGACAGUAGCUGGGCAUCCAGCAGCUGUUAAAGAUUUAUCGAUGUAUGCUGGGCAUGCGUCCAAUUAGCUAGUUGGUGAGGUAACGGCUCCCAAAGGCUAUGAUUGGUAGGGGAACUGAGAGGUCAAUCCCCCACACUGGCACUGAGAUACGGGCCAGACUCCUACGGGAGGCAGCAGUAGGGAAUAUUGGGCAAUGGACGCAAGUCUGACCCAGCCAUGCCGCGUGCAGGAUGAAGGCGUUAUGCGUUGUAAACUGCUUUUAUACAGGAAGAAACGACUCUUGCGAGAGGCAUUGACGGUACUGUAUGAAUAAGCACCGGCUAACUCCGUGCCAGCCGCCGCCGUAACAC
rnacentral:rRNA from 1 species